UUAAUUGAAGCCAAACAUGAGGCACUUUAUUGUUAAUAAAGAAAUUGAAUUUAAUAUUUCCAAUUAAA
rnacentral:tRNA from 1 species